UAAUUAACCUUUACUAUGGGUUUAUUUCAGUCCGGACUCUAAACACUCCUAUACACACAGGUGGAAGAAGAGGAGGAAAACUCCUGGAAAGUAGCUGAAUUAAGAAAUUCUACAGAGUAUACCUGACUGCUGCUGGCCACCAGCUAAUCUGCUGGGGUUGCACCGCUGCCACUCCAGAAGAAAAAUAAAUGGCUUAAGAAUGAAAAGCAGAUAGGAGGAUACCACCCCAGAGAAUACCAGCCUGAGAGGACAAGGCGAUUUAGUGAGUCCUCACAAGUUUUGAGUGCCGGGUAGGUCAUCUGAAUAACACGGGGGCUCUGACUGAACGGCUGACGCCUGCUGCGUGGAGCGCCCAGCAAUUCAGCCUCAGCUGCCUGCGCUGCAUAGUCAUCCGGAUGCCUGU